rnacentral:rRNA from 1 species
GGCUCAGAGCGAACGUUAGCGGCGGGCCUAACACAUGCAAGUCGCACGAGAAAGCGGUUUCGGCCGUGAGUAAAGUGGCGGACGGGUGAGUAACACGUGGGUAAUCUGCCUUUCAGUGGGGGAUAACUGUCCGAAAGGAUAGCUAAUACCGCAUACGUCGGCGAGGUUUGCGAACCUUGUCGGGAAAGCCGGCCUCUCCAUGGAAGCUGGCGCUGGAAGAGGAGCCCGCGGCCCAUCAGCUAGUUGGUAGGGUAAUGGCCUACCAAGGCUUAGACGGGUAGCUGGUCUGAGAGGAUGAUCAGCCACACUGGGACUGAGACACGGCCCAGACUCCUACGGGAGGCAGCAGUGGGGAAUAUUGGGCAAUGGGCGCAAGCCUGACCCAGCCACGCCGCGUGAGUGAUGAAGGCUUUCGGGUCGUAAAGCUCUGUGGGGAGGGAAGAAAAAACGCUGGCCAAUAUCCAGCGGACUGACGGUACCUCCUUAGCAAGCACCGGCUAACUCCGUGCCAGCAGCCGCGGUAA